GAAGUGGAAGGCGAUAGUAUUGAUUUGAAAAUUAAAUAUACCUUUUUAGAUAUUUUUUAUAGUCAAAUAGUCUGUUUUAUAUCUCUGUCGUUCGUUUCUUUCACACACAAGUUCUAAAAGAGAAUUCACGCAUCUGCAUCUUCCAAUUGCAACACAAUGACACACUCUCUCUCUUUCUGCACACAUACGGAUACAAACAUUUAUAUGCAGAUGCAGUCUGAUUUGUGUCCAAAAUCUGAGUUUCAUCACCAGUCAUGAAUUCCAAUAAUUCACAAAAUCGCAAUCCCCGGAUUUCAAUAAUGAAAUCCUCCUGUUUCUUCUCAAUUUUAGUCAUCGUCCUUGCAAUUUCAGUCUCAUUCAUCAUCCCCCAAACAAAUUAUGUAAAAACUCAAUACCUAAAUCCAACUAUCUCGCCACUUCUUUCGCAUAUUUUGAGAAUUCUUGGGUUCAAUCGCACAAUUCUAAACCCUAGUAAAUCUGCGUCAACAAGCCCUAAUCUGCUUCCUAAUCACUGUUUGCUAUGGAUGGCUCCAUUCUUUUCUGGUGGCGGUUAUUGUUCUGAAGCUUGGUCUUAUAUAUUAGCGCUCAAUCGGUACAGCAAAACCAGUAACUUCAGAUUGAGUAUCGCUCCACACGGGGAUAGCGAUAAUUUUCAAUUUUGGGAGGGUUUGCCUGUAGAGAUGCAAAAAUUAGCUUCUGAGCUCUACCAAACUCAAUGUAGACCAGAGGAGUCGAUUGCAAUUUGUCACAGUGAGCCUGGUGCUUGGAGUCCGCCAUUGUUUCAAACAACACCUUGUCCACCACCAAACAGCAGGUUUACUAUUGGCCGAACAAUGUUUGAAACCGAUAGGGUGAACCCCGAGCAUGUAAAGCGAUGCAAUUCCAUGGAUAUGGUGUGGGUUCCUACUGAAUUUCAUGUGUCUUCUUUUGUAAAUAGUGGCGUCGAUCCAUCAAAAGUCGUGAAAGUUGUACAGGCCAUAGAUACAGAAUUCUUUGAUCCAAUCAAAUACACCCCAUUGGAUCUUUCAGCUUUAGGGAAUUUGGUACUCGGUUCAAGUUCAGAACAAUUGAAUCCUAGAAAUCCAUUUGUGUUCUUGAGUGUGUUCAAAUGGGAGUACAGAAAAGGUUGGGAUGUUUUACUACAAUCUUACCUUAAAGAAUUCGAUUCUUCUGAUGGGGUUAACUUAUACCUGUUAACAAACCCUUACCAUUCUGAUAGAAAUUUCGGGAACAAGAUUCUGGAAUUCAUACACGAUUCCAAAUUGGAAAAACCCAUAAACGGUUGGGCUCCAGUUUAUGUGAUUGAUUCUCACAUAGCCCAAGUUGAGUUUCCAAGACUUUAUAAAGCAGCGAAUGCUUUUAUCUUGCCAUCUAGAGGUGAAGGGUGGGGAAGGCCAAUUGUUGAAGCCAUGGCUAUGUCUCUACCAGUGAUUGCCACAAACUGGUCAGGGCCAACAGAGUAUUUGACCAAAGUCAACAGCUACCCACUCUCUAUUGAUAGAAAUAGAAUGAGUGAAGUUACUAAUGGGCCAUUUAAAGGCCAUUUAUGGGCAGAGCCUUCUGUUGAUAACCUAAUGUUUUUAAUGAGGCAUGUAAUGAGCAAUCCAGAAGAAGCCAAGAGUAAAGGUGAGAAAGCCAGACAAGAUAUGAUCAACAAAUUCUCCCCUGAGAUUGUUGCAAAUAUAGUUUUUGAUCAAAUACAAGGAAUUCUUGAAAAACUAGACUAACAUCUUUUACAUCAAUUGGAAGAGAGUACAUUUUAUUUGUUAGCAUCAAGCCAAUCAAGAAUACCCUUUUCUGUUUCAGUAAGUUCUUUCUUCUGUCUCAAUGUGCCUUCUUCAAAAGCAAAGUAGUCCUUGUAAUUGCGCUUGUAAUAGCUGUCUAGUCUCUGCAAUAGAAACAAUAAAAAAAAAGCAUCACAAAUAGCCACCUGAGAUUUCUUAAAUGAGUCGAAAAACCAACAUCAUUUUUCUUUUUACCUCCUUAUCAUUCUUGGUUUUGUUUUCCUCUGAUUUCUUCAAGUACUCUGAGUAGAAGGCAUCAUAAUUAUUGUUAAUUUUGGUAACUUGUUUAAACAUACAUGUUUUUAUAAAGGAGACAUACUUUGAAGAAGUUCAGUCUUUGAGUCAUUAACAGCAGCCAAAGUUGCAAGCAGGAUUGCUCUUCUUCCUUCUCCUAGUCCAUUACUGUCUGUAAUCCUUGUUGUGCUUCUGAAUCUUGAACCUUUGACUUUUUCUCGACUGUUUUCAGCAGCUUGAAUGGAUGAAGCCAAUGUAGUAAUGUAAGCUCUUAUUGCCAUUACAAGUUAUUUCUUUACCUUAUCCUCCUCUCAUUUCAAAAGUUCCUCUCUCUGUGAAUAUAUUAUAAUCAGUCGCUUCUCUCUCUCUCUCUCUCUCUCUCUCUCUCUCUCUCUCUUUUCUUGGCCACUAGUUAUAUUUACUAUGGAUAUGAUGAUGGUGACUAGGAAAUUUGGCUGCUUAUGAACUUGUGACGUCAUGAAUCCUAAUCUUGAAUAUCUGAAAGUUUAUGUGAGAGAUGAUUUGGCGGGCCCAUCAGUUUCCAAUCAAGACAUCGCAACCAUUUCUUGAAGUGAUAAUUCUAGUAAAUAAGAUUUAUUCCACAUUUGAUGUCUGGUGCUCAUAUAUUAUUCAUAUCCAUUCGUUAUACAUUAUUACAUUAUACUAAAUUACAGAAUUCAAGUAAUAAUAUGUUAGUUUACGAAAUUAUAAUAAAGAUAAACUAUAUACCAUUAACCUUCAA